GGGGUUGUGGCUCAGUGGCAGAGCAUUUGCCUUGCAUGUAUGAGGCACUGGGUUCAAUCCUCAGCACCA
rnacentral:tRNA from 1 species